ACGGAGGAUGCGAGCGUUAUCCGGAUUUAUUGGGUUUAAAGGGUGCGUAGGCGGCUUAUUAAGUCCGUGGUGAAAUUUCUCGGCUCAACCGAGACCCUGCCAUUGAUACUGAUAAGCUAGAAUUCAAAUGGAGUAGGCGGAAUGAAUCAUGUAGCGGUGACAUGCAUAGAUAUGAUUCAGAACACCGAUCGCGAAGGCAGCUUACUAAGAUGAAAUUGACGCUGAUGCACGAAAGCGUGGGUAGCAAACAGGAUUAGAUACCCUGGUAGUCCACGCUGUAAACGAUGAUAACUCGUUGUCGGCGAUACAUUGUCGGUGACUUAGCGAAAGCGAUAAGUUAUCCACCUGGGGAGUACGAUCGCAAGGUUG
rnacentral:rRNA from 1 species